ACGUAGGGGGCAAGCGUUGUCCGGAUUUAUUGGGCGUAAAGAGCGUGUAGGCGGCUUGGUAGGUCUUGCGUCAAAACCUGAGGCUCAACCUCAGUUCGCGUGGGAAACCACCUAGCUAGAGUCCGGAAGAGGAGAACGGAAUUCCCAGUGUAGCGGUGAAAUGCGCAGAUAUUGGGAAGAACACCAGUGGCGAAGGCGGUUCUCUGGGACGGUACUGACGCUGAGACGCGAAAGCGUGGGGAGCGAACAGGAUUAGAUACCCUGGUAGUCCACGCCGUAAACGAUGGGCGCUAGGUGUGGGAGGUGUCGACUCCUUCCGUGCCGAAGCUAACGCAUUAAGCGCCCCGCCUGGGGAGUACGGCCGCAAGGCUA
rnacentral:rRNA from 1 species